GAACGCUGGCGGCAGGCCUAACACAUGCAAGUCGAACGGUAACAUUUCUAGCUUGCUAGAAGAUGACGAGUGGCGGACGGGUGAGUAAUGCUUGGGAACUUGCCUUUGCGAGGGGGAUAACAGUUGGAAACGACUGCUAAUACCGCAUAAUGUCUACGGACCAAACGGGGCUUAGGCUCCGGCGCAAAGAGAGGCCCAAGUGAGAUUAGCUAGUUGGUAAGGUAAUGGCUUACCAAGGCGACGAUCUCUAGCUGUUCUGAGAGGAAGAUCAGCCACACUGGGACUGAGACACGGCCCAGACUCCUACGGGAGGCAGCAGUGGGGAAUAUUGCACAAUGGGGGGAACCCUGAUGCAGCCAUGCCGCGUGUGUGAAGAAGGCCUUCGGGUUGUAAAGCACUUUCAGUUGUGAGGAAAAGUUAGUAGUUAAUACCUGCUAGCCGUGACGUUAACAACAGAAGAAGCACCGGCUAACUCCGUGCCAGCAGCCGCGGUAAUACGGAGGGUGCGAGCGUUAAUCGGAAUUACUGGGCGUAAAGCGCACGCGGGCGGUUUGUUAAGCUAGAUGUGAAAGCCCCGGGCUCAACCUGGGAUGGUCAUUUAGAACUGGCAGACUAGAGUCUUGGAGAGGGGAGUGGAAUUCCAGGUGUAGCGGUGAAAUGCGUAGAUAUCUGGAGGAACAUCAGUGGCGAAGGCGACUCCCUGGCCAAAGACUGACGCUCAUGUGCGAAAGUGUGGGUAGCGAACAGGAUUAGAUACCCUGGUAGUCCACACCGUAAACGC
rnacentral:rRNA from 1 species